rfam:Medicago truncatula strain A17 chromosome 1, whole genome shotgun sequence.
AUAUAAGCAAAAUUCACUUUUUAGGUUCAUUCAUUUAAUGAUGUAUGUGGUCCACAUACAUCAUUAAAUGAAUGAACCUAAAAAGUGAAUUUUGCUUAUAU